rnacentral:rRNA from 1 species
GAUGAACGCUGGCGGCGUGCCUAAUACAUGCAAGUCGAGCGAACAGAUGCGGUGCUUGCUCCUCUGACUUUAGUGGCGGACGGGUGAGUAACACGUGGAUAACCUACCUAUAAGACUGGGAUAACUUCGGGAAACCGAAGCUAAUACCGGAUAAUAUAUCGAACCGCAUGGUUCAAUAGUGAAAGACGGUUUUGCUGUCACUUAUAGAUUGAUCCGCGCCGCAUUAGCUAGUUGGUAAGGUAACGGCUUACCAAGGCCACGAUGCGUAGCCGACCUGAGAGGGUGAUCGGCCACACUGGAACUGAGACACGGUCCAGACUCCUACGGGAGGCAGCAGUAGGGAAUCUUCCGCAAUGGGCGAAAGCCUGACGGAGCAACGCCGCGUGAGUGAUGAAGGUCUUCGGAUCGUAAAACUCUGUUAUUAGGGAAGAACAAAUGUGUAAGUAACUAUGCACGUCUUGACGGUACCUAAUCAGAAAGCCACGGCUAACUACGUG